UAACUGUAGUUGGAAGUACUGGCUACACUAAGGACCUUGAUAGCGAAGCCAAAGGGGUUGCACAAACUUUUGCUUGAAAAUGUUAUUGUUUUUUUAUUUGCAAUAUCAUUAACUUGCAUCCUAAUUAUGAUGGUGGGAAUAAAUAAGUUAGGUUGAGAAUUGCAAAACCAAACUAUAAUUUAGUUAUCAAUUUAAUUAUUUGGAUUUUUUUGUCUUUCUGUUUUGAACUAACACUACCAAUUUAAUUCUAGAACUUCUAUUUUUUUCUCUUGCAUAAUUUCCCAAGAAAAUGAUUAGAUUCUAUUGAGGGGUUUUUAUUGGUUCCGUGGCACCCACUAUUUUAAUUUAUUGAGUCAUACCAAAUACCUGAUAGUACUUCAUGUUUAUAAUUUUCUCCAUUUGAUUUCUAUAGCUGAUUUUUCUGUUUGAUGAUAUAUAUAUUUAUUUUUGAAUAAAACGUCCAAAGAUUUACUGCUUUCUUGUGCUCAAAUAAUCUCAUCAUAAUUGAUACCAUUAUUAGUAAAACAUCAAAUAAUACAACAUGUGUAUGCAUUAAGAAAAUGAGCACACUAAAAUAGAAUGGAAUUAUGUAGAAAUUGUUGAUGGUGGUGUUGUUAUUAUUCUUACUGCAUCUGUUCACCUUGCCAUGUCCAAACAAUGUCUUUUAAAGCUGGUCUUAUAUCCUUUUUCAUUAUUGUAUUGUAUUCCAAUGUAUCACCACUGGACUUGCUUACUUCAACCAGGUGAAAGGAGGGUGGGAAUUCAUAUAUCUCAGCUUGAAUUGAAAUUGGUCCUUUUCUACCUUUGAUCCCUCCAUUUUCAGGGACCCCCUGUCCUUUUCUGUUUGAUGAUAUUUGAAAGAAAAUGGUGAUUUGGUGGCUGUUAAAGUGCAAAGGCCCUUUGUUCUUGAGACUGUAACAGUUGAUUUGUUCAUCAUACGAAAUUUGGGACUAGUUGCUCACAAGUUUCCCCAGAUCUCUGUAGAUGUUGUUGGACUGGUUGAUGAAUGGGCAGCCCGUUUCUUUGAGGAGCUAGAUUAUGUUAAUGAGGGUGAAAAUGGAAUGUGUUUUGCUGAAAUGAUGAAAAAAAGACCUUCCACAGGUAUAUUGAGAUGUCUUUCUUUGGAGCAAUGCUAGACAAAGUUUGUGGUUGAAGUUUUUAGAAUUAAAGAAUGUAUUUUACCAACUUUGUAUACAUUUCCUAAAUUGUACCGGUCCUCAAAAAUAUAUUUGUACAAUUUUAAGGGUGUUUUAAGUAUAUUAAAUUAAGCAG